GCAGUAUGCAGGAAUUACAGCCUUACAGAUCCGAAGAGCCGCUGCAGAGUUUAAACCUAGCUCAGAAACGAACGCAGGCGAGCAGGCCUAACAAAUGCAAGUAGAACGCACCGCAAGGUAAGUGAGCAGAAGGGUGAGUAACGCGAUGAGGAAACCUACCCUAUGAGUACGGAACAACUCAGAGGAAACUUAAGAGACUAAUACCGUAUAAGACCCGAGAGAGGAGAAAGAAUAUUAUAGCCAUUAGAUGGGCCCGCGAUAGAUUAGCUAGUUGAGUGAGAGUAAUGGCUCACCAAGGCGACGAUCCGUAGCUAGUCUGAGAGAUGAUCAGCCACACUAGGACUAGAACACGGCCAGACUCCUACAGAAGGCAGCAGUAGGGAAUAUUAGACAAUAGGCGAAAGCAUUAUACCAGACCAUGCGCGUGAGAUGAAGAAGCCCAAGGUUGUAAAGCUCUUU
rnacentral:rRNA from 1 species